CCCUAGUACGAGAGAAGCGGUGUACCAGUUAUCGUGCCAAACGGUAAACGCUGAGGUAGCGGAGCGAGAUAACGCUGAAAGCAUCUAAUAGUAACCCAAGAUGAUGCUCUAUUCCAACUUCCGAGUAGCACAGCCGAGACAGCGACGGGUUCUCUGCCCUGCGGGGAUGAGCGACAGAAGUUUUGAGAGAAGCGAAGACGAGCCGUUAUCAUUACGAUAGGUUCAAGUGG
rnacentral:lncRNA from 1 species